AAGUUUCAAUCAACACCAAUUAUACGAUUUCAUUCCAAAAUUGAUACAAUCACAAGUUAAGGCAAAACCUAAUUUUCUAGUAUAUAAACUAGAGAGUUUCACAAAGAAAAUUAGGGGGGAGAACAAAAAAAAACACAAAAGAUUUGAGGCAGAAAAUUAGGGGAGGGUGAGCCAAAGAGAGAGAACCAAGAUCACGAUGAAUAUGGAGUAGCAAAAUUCAAUCAUUGCCUCCACCAUAUUCCAUCGACCACUACUAAUUGAAAUUCAUUCAACCCAUCAAUAGCAAC
rnacentral:lncRNA from 1 species